rnacentral:rRNA from 1 species
CUAUACGGUGAACUGCGAAUGGCUCAUUAAAUCAGUUAUCGUUUAUUUGAUAGUACCUUACUACAUGGAUAACCGUGGUAAUUCUAGAGCUAAUACAUGCUAAAAACCCCGACUUCGGAAGGGGUGUAUUUAUUAGAUAAAAAACCAAUGCCCUUCGGGGCUCCUUGGUGAAUCAUAAUAACUUAACGAAUCGCAUGGCCUUGCGCCGGCGAUGGUUCAUUCAAAUUUCUGCCCUAUCAACUUUCGAUGGUAGGAUAGUGGCCUACCAUGGUAUCAACGGGUAACGGGGAAUUAGGGUUCGACUCCGGAGAGGGAGCCUGAGAAACGGCUACCACAUCCAAGGAAGGCAGCAGGCGCGCAAAUUACCCAAUCCCGACACGGGGAGGUAGUGACAAUAAAUACUGAUACAGGGCUCUUUUGGGUCUUGUAAUUGGAAUGAGUACAAUUUAAAUCCCUUAACGAGGAACAAUUGGAGGGCAAGUCUGGUGCCAGCAGCCGCGGUAAUUCCAGCUCCAAUAGCGUAUAUUAAAGUUGUUGCAGUUAAAAAGCUCGUAGUUGAACCUUGGGCCUGGCUGGCCGGUCCGCCUCACCGCGUGUACUGGUCCGGCCGGGCCUUUCCUUCUGGGGAACCUCAUGCCCUUCACUGGGCGUGCUGGGGAACCAGGACUUUUACUUUGAAAAAAUUAGAGUGUUCAAAGCAGGCCUUUGCUCGAAUACAUUAGCAUGGAAUAAUAGAAUAGGACGUGUGGUUCUAUUUUGUUGGUUUCUAGGACCGCCGUAAUGAUUAAUAGGGAUAGUCGGGGGCAUCAGUAUUCAAGCGUCAGAGGUGAAAUUCUUGGAUUGCUUGAAGACUAACUACUGCGAAAGCAUUUGCCAAGGAUGUUUUCAUUAAUCAGUGAACGAAAGUUAGGGGAUCGAAGACGAUCAGAUACCGUCGUAGUCUUAACCAUAAACUAUGCCGACUAGGGAUCGGGCGGUGUUAGUAUUUUGACCCGCUCGGCACCUUACGAGAAAUCAAA